ACGAACGCUGGCGGCGUGCCUAAUACAUGCAAGUCGAGCGGACAGACGGGAGCUUGCUCCCUGAUGUUCGCGGCGGACGGGUGAGUAACACGUGGGUAACCUGCCUGUAAGACUGGGAUAACUCCGGGAAACCGGGGCUAAUACCGGAUGGUUGUCUGAACCGCAUGGUUCAGACAUAAAAGGUGGCUUCGGCUACCACUUACAGAUGGACCCGCGGCGCAUUAGCUAGUUGGUGAGGUAACGGCUCACCAAGGCAACGAUGCGUAGCCGACCUGAGAGGGUGAUCGGCCACACUGGGACUGAGACACGGCCCAGACUCCUACGGGAGGCAGCAGUAGGGAAUCUUCCGCAAUGGACGAAAGUCUGACGGAGCAACGCCGCGUGAGUGAUGAAGGUUUUCGGAUCGUAAAGCUCUGUUGUUAGGGAAGAACAAGUGCCGUUCAAAUAGGGCGGCACCUUGACGGUACCUAACCAGAAAGCCACGGCUAACUACGUG
rnacentral:rRNA from 1 species